GGAGAAACAUGACAGUGGACAGGCCCAAUUCUGCAUAGUACAGAUGGGAAAGUCAGGCGGGCAGUUACUCCAUCACUACCCACGUCUCAAAUUCACUUAAGCAAAGCUCCAAUUCUGUGCAAGAAGGAUGCAAAAAGAGCAAAAUAUCCAUGGUACAACUUUCUGGAGCAUCAAUCCUACUGCCAGAUUUGGAAGAAAUGAAGUUAAGUAAUUUCCAAGCAGUAUCUCCCCUCCCUGACAAACAUGGAAGAAGAGACAGAAGAGCAGGAGGAAGAAGUGCCCCAGGACAACAGUCCAGUCUCUGAAGAUUCAUCCAGCUUGGGACAAAGGGCCAGCCUCUCUACUUAUCUCUCCGUUGGCUCCCAACCAUCCUUUAAGCUCACCAGCAUUUUGGAUUCAAUGCGUUUGAAUGCUGUGGAAGUGCAGGUACUCCCUUGAUUU